CCUUAGCAGAAAUCCCCAGGACGAGACUAUAAAAAGAGAGCAAGGGAAGCGUGUGUGUAUGACUGUAUCGGGGGUGUCGGGGAAGCUUUUUAUAAUAAAUAAUAAUAAUAAAAAAACGGAAGCAUUAUCCAGAGGUUUUAUUUAUUCCUCCAUCGUUAACAUUGUAAUACUGAUGAAAAGAACAAGUCUUAUUUCAAAGAAGAAAUAGGAGGCUGUAUAAUUUGAAUCGAUCUCAUCAUUUCUUUUGAAUAAAAAGGGCAAACCGUUUUUAUUCUGGUCUAAAAUACAUUUAUAAUAUUAGGCACUCCAAGACUGAUUUGUGGGGGAUGUGGUGUAUGAUUUUUUUUUUUUUUUUUUGUAAUUUGUAUUAGAUAAACUGCCGUUUCAGAAGAAGUGAGGAUAAUUAACCUGGUCGGUUUCAUUGGAAUUUAUCGCUUACUUUCAAAUACCAGACGCUACGUACACAGCAGAAAAAGGAGAUUUAUUUUUUUUGUUGCACCAAAUCUCAUAAUGUAUUUUGUCUUGGCUAAAAUGAUGUAGCUACUUACAGUCUUCCCGAAACAACAUUUACUUUAAGAAAAAAGUAAAAAUUAUAGGAAUGUAUUGAUCUUUUUUUUUGUUUGUUUGUUUUUUAAACGUUUAAUGAUAUGGAUGUGUCUAUUUCUACCAGCUGAAGGAGCACCUCUCAUAUUUUUUUCCAGUAAGGAGGAAGGCGACAUUUGGAGUAACACUGCAGAAAGUAGAACUGAGUUGUAUUUUUUGUUCUUACUGGGUGCAAAAAUGGAGAACGAAGUCUUUUCUCCACUCCUUGAGCAAUUUGUGCUCACCCCACUAGUAACUUGGGUGAAGACUUUUGGGCCUUUGGGUGGAAAAGAUGGGGGAAAACUUGCAGAAUACAUUGACUUAGUGGAUGGCAUCUAUUUAAAUGAGAUCAUGCUUCAGAUUAAUCCUAAAGCAACUGUCCAAAGAACAAACAAGAAGGUGAACAAUGAUGUGACACUCAGGAUACAAAAUCUAUCAAUUUUGGUACGGCAGAUCAAAUCAUAUUACCAGGAGACUUUACAGCAGUUAAUCAUGAUGCCCCUUCCAAAUGUCCUGGUGUUGGGUAGAAAUCCUCUCUCUGAACAAGGUCUGGAUGAAAUGAAGAAAUUCUUGUUACUUUUGCUUGGUUGUGCAGUUCAGUGUGAGAAAAAAGAAGAAUUCAUUGAGAAAAUCCAAACCUUAGAUUUUGACACAAAAGCUGCAAUUGCGUCCCACAUUCAAGAGGUGACUCACAAUCAGGAGAAUGUGUUUGACCUACAGUGGAUGGACAUUGUUGAUUUGUCCCAGGAGGACCUUGACUCUCUGUCCAGGAACAUGGCAUUACAUCUAAAACGAAUUGUUGAUGAGAGGGAUGAAUAUUCUGAGACAAUUGUAGAACUUUCCCAGGAACAGGAAUGUGGGCAUUUUUCACCCCAUGCACCAACAGCACAGUCACCCAAUGGAUCACCAAGCAUGCGUCGCACAGAAAGCAGACAACACUUGUCAGUGGAGCUGGCAGAUGCCAAGGCAAAAAUAAGAAGGCUUAGGCAAGAACUGGAAGAGAAGAGUGAGCAGCUGCUGGACUGUAGGCAAGAGUUGGAGCACAUGGAGACAGAGCUGAAACGGAUUCAGCAAGAGAGCAUGCUGUUGCUGGCAGAUGCCCGUUCAGCCAGAGCGUAUCGUGAUGAGCUGGAUGCUCUCAGAGAAAAGGCAAUUAGAGUUGACAAGCUUGAAAGUGAAGUCGGCCGGUACAAAGAAAGAUUACAUGACAUUGAAUUUUAUAAAGCCAGAGUUGAGGAAUUAAAGGAAGAUAACCAGGUUCUAUUGGAAACAAAGACCAUGUUGGAGGAUCAACUAGAAGGAUCUCGAGCCCGUUCUGACAAACUGCAUGAGCUAGAGAAAGAAAAUCUACAAAUAAAGGCAAAAAUACAUGAUUUGGAGAUGGAUCGUGAUAUUGACAGAAAGAAAAUCAAGGAUCUGUCAGAAGAAAACCUGGCACUGGAAAUGGCUCAAAAACAGAGUAUGGAUGAAUCAUUGCACCUUGGCUGGGAAUUAGAGCAGCUUUCCAAGACCACUGAGCACUCAGAAGUGCCUCAAAAAUCGUUGGGUCAUGAAGUUAAUGAAUUGACUUCAAGCCGAUUGCUUAAGCUGGAAAUGGAAAACCAGAGUCUUUUAAAAACUGUUGAAAAACUUAGAAUUACAACGGAUCCUUCAGAAGAUAGGAACUCGAGAUUCCUGGAGAAAGAAAAUCUGAGAUUAAGCAAAAAGUUGGAAAAGCUUGAGAAUGAAAUGAGCAUCGAGAAGCAAAGCCUGAGAAAUAUAGAAAAUCUGAGCAACGAUCUGAUGAAAGAGAAAGCUCAACUUGAAAAGACCAUUGAGACCCUUGGAGAAAACUCUGAAAGACAGGUGAAAGUAUUGGAGCAAGAAAAUGAACACUUAAAUCAAACCAUAUCCUCCCUAAGGCAACGUUCCCAAAUAAGUGCAGAGGCAAGAGUAAAGGACAUUGAAAAAGAGAACAAGAUCCUGCAUGAGUCAAUUAAAGAGACUAGCAGCAAGCUAAACAAGAUGGAGUUUGAAAGAAAACAGCUUCGAAAGGAGCUUGAACAUUAUAAAGAAAAGGGAGAAAGGGCUGAGGAGCUGGAGAAAGAGGUGCAUCGCCUAGACAGGGAAAAUGAACAGCUUCAGAAAAAAAUUACAGGCCUAACUAUCACCUGCGAUAAAGUGGAGGCACUGGAGCAAGAAAACUUAAAUUUAGAGGUUGAGAACAGAAAGUUAAAGAAGAAACUGGACAGCCUGAACAAUCUCAGCUUUCAGUUAGAGACGCUGGAAAAAGAAAACACACAGCUUGACGAAGAAAAUUUAGCUCUAAGAAGAACAGUAGAGUCAUUAAAGUCAUCCUGCAUCAAGGUGGCACAGCUGGAACUGGAAAACAAAGAGCUGGAAAAUGAAAAAUGGCAGUUAAAGAAAAGCCUGGAUCUGAUGAAAGCAUCUUCUAAGAAAACAGAACGCUUGGAGGUCAGCUGUCAAGGGCUCGAUACAGAAAACCAAUGGCUCCAAAAGGCACUGGAGAACAGCAACAAAAAGAUCCAGCAACUUGAAAGUGAACUCCAGGAUGUGGAGACUGAAAACCAAAGCUUGCAAAAAAGCCUGGAGGAGCUCAAAAUUUCAAGCAAACGCUUAGAGCAGUUAGAAAAAGAGAAUAAGAUACUGGAGCAAGAAACUUUGCAGCUAGAAAAAGACAAAAAACAACUGGAGAAAGAGAACAAGAGGCUUCGACAGCAGGCUGAGAUCAGAGACUUCACGCUUGAUGAAAACAACCUGAGAAUUAUCAACCUGGAGAAAGAUAAUAAGUCACUCACUAAAGAAAUGAAUGUUUUCAAAGAUUCAUGUGGACGAGUCAAAGACCUUGAAAAGGAAAACAAAGAGCUUGUAAAACAGGCCACAAUAGAUAAAAAGACUCUAGUAACCUUAAGAGAGGAUCUGGUGAGUGAGAAACUGAAGACUCAACAAAUGAAUAAUGAUCUUGAAAAACUGACACAUGAGCUGGAAAAAAUAGGAUUAAACAAAGAGAGACUCUUAGAUGAUGAACAAAGUACAGAAGACAGUAGAUAUAAGCUGCUGGAGUCCAAACUUGAGUCCACAUUGAAAAAGUCUCUUGACAUAAAAUUAGAAAAGAUUGCUGCCCUUGAAGCCCGCUUGCAGGAAUCUUCAAACCUGAACCAGCAGCUUCGCCAGGAACUCAAAACCGUUAAAAAGAACUAUGAAGCACUUAAGCAGAGAGAGGAAGAGGAACGUAUGAUGCAGAGCUCUCCACCCAGAGCGGGUGAAGAAACCCAGACUGUCAGUAAAUGGGAGGAGAGUCACGAAGCCACUCGGGAGCUUCUAAAGGUCAAAGACAGGCUAAUUGAGGUGGAAAGGAAUAAUGCUACGCUCCAAGCAGAAAAACAGGCCCUGCGGACACAGCUAAAACAGUUGGAGAGCCAGAGUGAUAAUCUACUGGCACAGAUCCUAGCACUCCAGAGACAAACAGCCACUUUACAAGAGCAUAACACUACAUUACAGACACAGAGUGCUAAACUGCAGGUGGAGAAUUCAACUCUAAACUCACAAAGUGCAUCACUGAUGACCCAGAACUCGCAACUUCAGUUUCAGCACUCCACCAUUGAAAGUGAUAAUGAAUCCCUAAUCAAAGAAAAAGAAGAGCUAAAAUCCAUGUAUGACUUGCUGGUAAAAGAUCACGAGAAACUAGCGGCCCUCCAUGAACACCAGGCAGCAGAGUAUGAAUCUCUCAUCAAUAAACAUGGCAGCCUUAAAUCAGUCCACAAAAACCUAGAAGUGGAGCACAAGGACCUUGCGGACAGGUACAAUCACCUACUCAAGCAAAAGGCCCAAUUGGAAGAGCUGGAGAAGGUCUUGAAAGCAGAGCAGGAGAAAAUGCUCUUAGAAAAGAAGAGCCAUGAAACUACAGCUGCAGAGUAUCAGAACCUGCGAGAUGAAAAUGACAAGCUGAAUCACACAUAUUGCCAAUUACUGAAAGAGAAUGAAGGACUGCAGGCUGACCACAAGAAUAUCAAAGGUUUACUGAAUAGCGCAACGCUUGAGCAAACCCGACUGGAAGCAGAAUUUUCCAAGUUAAAGGAACAGUAUCAGCAGCUAGAUAUUACAUACACCAAACUGAACAAUCAGUGUGAGUUGCUGAGUCAGCUAAAGGGAAAUCUGGAAGAAGAAAACAGACAUCUGUUAGAUCAAAUCCAGACUCUGAUGCUUCAGAAUAGAACCCUGCUGGAGCAAACUAUGGAAAGCAAGGAUCUGUUCCAUGUCGAACAGAGACAGUACAUAGACAAGCUGAAUGAGCUCAGGAGGCAGAAGGAGAAGCUGGAAGAGAAGAUCAUGGACCAGUACAAAUUUUAUGACCCUUCUCCUCCAAGGAGAAGGGGUAACUGGAUCACCCUGAAGAUGAAAAAAUUGAUAAAACCCAAAAACCGUGAACGUAUUAAGUCUCUGACACUCACUCCGUCACAGUCUGAAUCAAGUGACGGCUUCCUGAACUUACCCCAGCAAGACAGUCAGGAUAGCUCCUCGGUGGGAUCUGGCUCCAAUUCCCUUGAUGACAGCCUGUCUUUUGGGAAUAAGAAGAGCAGCCUGGCUGCAGUGAAAAGGUUGCCCUUUAUGAGGAACAGACCGAAGGAAAAAGACAAAAUGAAGGCCAUCUACCGUCGUUCCAUGUCCAUGAAUGACCUGUUGCAAACCAUGGUCCAGGCAGGAGGACAGUGGACAGAUAGUUCUGAGAAUCUGGAUGAGCCUGAUGAUGCUGCUACCAGGCUGAGGAGGAAGGAACUGGGAGCUAUGGCGUACUCCACAACAGCAAUCAACUAUGCUACACUGAACUCUUCUGCUGGCCUCAGAUCCAAGCACAGGCAUAAGUCGAAAGACAAUGCAUCUUGUGAAGAUGUUGCGCCUCGGGUCACAGAUGAAUCUAGUAAUGUUUUAAGAAUUCAUGGGGUGCACAAUACUAGCUGUACAGAUGCUAUUGCUUCUCCUGUCCUUGGUACUUCUACAAUGUGCAAAAUUCCUUGUGACAUCUGUUCUUCCAGACCAGUCAGCUUUGAUAGUUGCAAGACAACCAGUAGUAACAGCAAUAAUAAUGCUUUGUCUAAUGAUGCUAAAGCAAGUGCACUAAAUGGCGGCCACAGCAGGCCCCUUAGUCAAAGCAGUGGUGAAUUUAGUCUGAGCCUUGAUAAUGAAGUGUGGUCAAGCAGCAGCAGUCCUGUCCAGCAGACUGGUCAGCUUUCUCAAAGAUCUUCAAAACAGAGUCCUUUGCUCGUUCAGAAAACACUGGACAUUCCAUCUCAGCAGAAAAGAAAAGCUGCUUCCCCUGGAAGUGAAGUAGUCACUUUGCAACAGUUUUUGGAAGAGAGCAACGUGCAUUCACCAACAAAUUCUGGUAGCCAGGAGAACCUUGUGGAUGAGACCAUGAGGCGGGUCAGUGAUUCUUCAAAACCAGCAGGAAGAGUGAAGGCACCCAGGAACUCCUCUAGCAGCCGCGGAAUUUUGAGAUCAUCAAGCGACAGAACCACGGUGGAUUUCACAGAUGGCAGGCCUCCCAAACCUGGACAGAUAGUCAGACCUAGCCUUAGAAAGGCAGAAAGCACACGUAUUAAAAGUACAGCUGUUAAACCUACAUUAAGCGCUCAGGGAAAAGCCACAUCUCUUGCUGAAAAGUUAGACAUUAUGAAGCAGAAACCGACACAGAGAGAUUGCAGCACUUUUUCUACCUUACCACGUGCCAGCAGUGUGAUCUCGACGGCUGAAGGCUCCACCAGGAAGACAAGCAUUCAUGACUUUAUGUCCAAAGACACUAGACAACCAGUAUCUGUUGAUCCUUCCCCAACUAAGGCUACUAAUAGAAGCAACCAACAAGCAACCAGUGAGUACCACUUAGACCGCCAUCCCCAGUUCCCUCAUCAUGUACCUUACCAAAACCCUUCAGAGCCAAUUCUGCAGAAAUGUAGCCAAUCCAGUUCACUUGGUUGUGGUCAUUCUCCAGUUAUGGAAGGAGCAUAUACAGGGAAUAGAGGUCAAAAAGCAUCAAGUUCUAAAUCAUUGUUUGGUUCAACUUUUACAGUUGAUUCUGUGUUCAUUGACUCUGUAGAACCACACAGUGACAGUGUAGCUUCCUUCAUCACUACCAGUGCAAGUCAGCCAUUCUUAUCUUUAAACACAUCCUUAGUUAGUAACAUAAGUGGUCUGCCGCUAAGGGCCACUCCAAGACCUACUGACGUAGCUUUUGUGUCACCUGUUAAAGCAGUGCUGAACGAGUAUAGUGUACAGGAUUCUAGCCCUGAGAAUGCUCUCCCCACUGGUGAGCCUACUAAUGCAGAACAUGUGAACAUUAACAAUGAGUCUGGGUCACCAGAAUUAUCUUCUGAAGACAAUCAGUCCCUGUGGUAUGAGUAUGGCUGUGUUUGAACCACACAAAUGUGUAUUUACAGGAAAUUGUAGACACCUUGAACUUAUAUAGCAGUACAGGUUAAAGCAAAAUAUCUACAUUGUUUUUUUAUAAUAGAUGGAAGUUGCAUGUUAGGGACUUCUCUAUGCUUUUGUUUGUAUACUGAGGUAGGUUAUGUAGGCUUAUUUUCAAGGUAUUGCUUACCACAUUGCAUGCGUUAUAAAUGAUUUUCACACUUUCAGCUGAGACUUGUAAUUGUUAAUAUUCUUAAAACUUUUGCACUAUUGUCAAAACUUUUUUGGAUGUUUGUUUUGUAAUAUACAGUAUCUGCUAAUAUAGUUCCAUAGAUUAUUUUUAUUAAACACAGGACUUUGGGGUUACCAAUGCAUGUGCAGUAGACACUUUCAUAUUAAUUGUUUAAAAUUACUAUUUUUAAAACCAUACACUGUUUAUAUGUAAAAAAUGUUAUAUAUGACUUGUAAAACAUUUUUGAGGGAUAUGUUUAAAGAGCUUCUAUAAAAUGUUGAACGAUAGACAGUGACAUAUCCCUUCUACAGUCUAAUUACUUAAAGACAUAAUAGAAAAGUUGAAAAUGUUACUACAAAGGUUGCAUAUAAGAAAUUAAGCAACAGGCACCUUUAAUAUAAUCCACAUAAAAUCUGCACACAGCCAUUUUCUAUUUCAAGCUUUGGUCUAAGUCAAAAAAUGUAAAUCUGUAAAUUAAUCCAAAACUUCACCAAAUGCCCUAUACUAUCAGAUCCCACAAAUAAUGACUAAAACAAACAAUAAAGAUACAUGUACUGUGUGGUUUUUUAUCUAUCUAACUAGAAAAGCAGUGUUCAUAUUUUAACAUUACUGGUACAUAGGUUACAUGUCCUUUAGUUUAUAAGAAGUAAAAGAAAUAUAAGACAGUAAAAUAAACAUGUAAUUAGCCAAAUUUUCCACGUUUUAUUUAUCUAAAACCAAAAACCUUUGAAAAAUGACAGAUAAUUUGUACUUCAUAAUGGCAUUCAGAUAGUUAUCUUUUUAAUUUAAUAUAUCCCUAUUAAAAGUAAUAGUAUGUGCUAAAUCUAAAUGAAAACACACAUAUUCUGAUAUGCAGUGGAUGUAUUAAUAAAAGUCUUAAUUGUGUGAAGAUAUGUAGAUGUGUGGCACUGUGUUUUGCAUGUUUUAUGUCUGCAUGUCUGGUACUCUUGCUGCUUUAAAUAACUAUUUUGUCUCUUAUGUAAAUCCUGAGUUACUAUUUUGAUCCUUUAGAUCAAAUCAGUUUAUGUGUGGGAACAACAUGCACUGUCAUAUGAAAAAUCAGUAGCAUUGAAUGUUGUAUGGCAAAAAUGUAUGUUGAUAUGCAUAAAACAAGUUUUAUGUUGUUAUUUUAUUUGUAAACUUGACUUUUGAAGUUUCCUUGCAUUUUGUACAUGAUAGCAUUUAAAGUUAGAAAAACAUGCCAGUAACUGAACAACAUACCUAAUGUCAGUUACAACGGAGCAUAGAUUAUGUAAUUGUGCAUGUAAUUUGUCUAUUACUGUACUGAUUAUGUAUGGUGCAGACUAAUAUCGAUCCCAUUGUAUUCAGAAAUAAUACGAAAUGCCUUUUUUCUGCAGAUGUGAAAAGUUUACAAGAGCACAGAAAAUCAAAAAGCAGAACUGGGGAGCAACAUAGCUCCUAAACAUAGCCACCUACCACCAACAAAGUGGGCUAAGUGAGAGAAAAGUGGCCUUCAAGCUGUCAUUUUGAAGCCUUUAGUUCUGGUCUACUGAGACUCGUCACUUGUGUAAAGCUAACAAAUCUUUUAAGAACCUUUCGUCAGUAGAAAAUGUUAGAGACACCAUAACUUUCCUUGAAUCAAGGAGCAAUGUUGGACUCCAUUAAAAAAGUAAUGAGAUGCAUUUCUUUGGACUGAAGAACUUUUAAGACAAGUUGCACUGCUACCUGGAUUUCAAAAAAACAGUGAUGUACAUUUUAAGGACCAAUAUUCUGUAACCGUGCCGAGCUCAACUCCUGGGGAAGAAAACAUUUUAAAUUUUUCAUGGAUCCUGAAGAAUUAGUCAUAUUUUAUGUAUAUCAUUUGCUUUUAAAUAGCCAGACUGUUUAACAGUUUAUUAUUAGCUUUCUUGUAAAUGAGAAGAAUGUAUACACUUGCAAUGUUGUGGAACCUGCUAACUCUGCAUUACCUACACAAACCUAUUGGCAUGGGGGCACUACCUUAUGAGUUUAUCACGAUCUGCAUGAAGCAAUCAAGACGUCUCUAGGACAAAGCUGUGCUAUGAAUCUUAUUAUCAUACUUUUUGCAAGACAUACCAAAAUAACACUAUAAUAAUAAAAAAGAAAUUACUUUAUCAAUGCUUUACUAAAGUUGGACACUUGCUGUAAAGGUUGUAGGUGAUGAAGUGUUUGAAAAUCUGGAAAGAAUCUUAUGUAAACAGAAUUUCCUGAUAGAAGAAUCAGUGGUAUUCCCAUGAUCUGGAUAAGCAUUUCACUUUUAAUGACUGCUUAUGUAUAGUUAAUUUCCUUUUCCACUUUUACAUAAAGGCAUUUGAUGUGGGUAAUGAC